GAUGAACGCUAGCGGAAGGCAUAAUACAUGCAAGUCGAACGGAUGUAGCAAUACAUUAGUGGCGCACGGGUGCGUAACGCGUAUGCAACCUACCUUCAUCAGGGGGAUAACUACCCGAAAGGGUGGCUACCACCGCAUAAUACUAUUGAGUGGCAUCACUUGAUAUUUAAAUCUGAGGAGGAUGAAGAUGGGCAUGCGUCUGAUUAGCUAGUUGGUGUGGUAACGGCGCACCAAGGCGACGAUCAGUAGGGGAACUGAGAGGUUGGUCCCCCACACUGGCACUGAGAUACGGGCCAGACUCCUACGGGAGGCAGCAGUAGGGAAGAUUGGUCAAUGGUGGGAACACUGAACCAGCCAUUCCGCGUGCAGGAAGAAGGGUCUCUGACUUGUAAACUGCUUUAGCAAGGGAAGAAAAAGCUCAUGCGUGAGAAAUUGACGGUACCUUGAGAAUAAGCACCGGCUAACUACGUGCCAGCCGCCGCCGUAAUAC
rnacentral:rRNA from 1 species